rnacentral:tRNA from 1 species
AUAUUUUUAGUGUAGUUCAAUAGAACAUGAGACUCCAAAAUCCGAUAUCAUAGGUUCAAACCCUAUAAAAUGUG